GACUUUGCAGCUGCACCCUCCAUCUGAUUUUUUUUUUCUCUGCUGUUUUCCUUUCUCGUCACACCUGAUUUUUGGAGAUGAAGACCAUGUUUUUGUUGCCUCAUUUCAAAGGGAGCAGCUGGCCCUAUGGAAGGAAAGAAAAGAGCCACACCAUCCUCUAACUAGGAAAGAAAUCACUGCUGAUCACAAAAUCAGAAUCAAACAUUCUGGUUUCCUAUUUCUGCUCACCCGAGAAUACACCCUAGAGUUAAUGUAAUAUUUGUUUCCUAAGUAAAGCCGUGUAUAGGCUAUAUAGAAGCCUCGGCUGCUGACCUAAAGGGAAGGGGAAAAACGCAAAAAAAAAAGAGCAUAAAAGGGGGCAGAAAAAAGGAAGGAGAAAAAGAUUCAUGGAGGAUGUAAUUUUUCAGAAAAGAGAGGAAAGACACAAAAAAAAAGACCUAAAUCUAAACCCUCUCUAGAGGAGCCGCAGCCCCCUCUCAUCUUUUAAAAACGAAGUGAGCCACCCCCUGACUUUGAAAAGAAAACAGAGUGAGGAGAGAAAGUAAAAAAACAGAGAGAAGAGGCCGAAAACACAGGGAAGAGAAAGCAGAGAGAGACGCAAAGAAAGAGUGAAGAAAAAACCGAGAGAACCCGCAUAAGGCUGAGUUGAGAGACACAGAAAAACGAGGCCGAAAGGCAAAGGCUUUUCCAUCUAUCUGAACUUCAUCUUCUGCAUUCAGACAAGUAAGAUCUGCAGGUUAGUUUUCCAAUUUUUUUUUCUUCCUUGCUAUAUUCAAACUUGACAUCUGUUGUUUUUUUUCUGUUCCAAACCUGUUCCUUCCUUUUGCUCUGGAUAUUUGUUUCUGGUUGGACAAAAGGACAUUGCUUGCCCACGGUUCAUGCAUGGCUUGGAGUUUAGAUUUUUUUGUUCAUGUUAAAGUUACGUUUCUUUUCUUAUUCUCUUGCCGUGAGGAACCGUGAGCUUUAAAGGCUUUCAUUAUCUUUCCCUUUCUUUGUCCGAGUGUCUCUUUGCCUUAGGAUGUUGCAUAGUUUGAGUUUGGCUCCUAAAUAAAGCUCUAUCUAGAAAGUGAAACACGAGGGAAGUCCCUUUAGAGUCAAGGCGGUCUUUUAGCAGACUUUCGGUUCAUGUUUUCAUUUUGAUUGUUUUUUCUGAAAAAAGAGCUAGCUGGCCGUUGGUUUGUGUUUGUAGUUCUGUAUUUGCUUCAGUAUAAAGGUGUUGCUCAAGUCGUUUCCUUUUGCAUGAGACUAACGAGUGUGGCAGUAUUAAAGAUCGGAAAAAGGAUGGGUGUUGAGUCAUGGUUACUGUUAUAGGUUUUGGUUUUCAGAAUUGUGGUCUUCUUGUGCAUACAGACUUGUUAUUUUUUUUUAGUUAUAGGAUUUGGGUUUAAAUGGACGGACUGAAUCUUGUGUGAGUAAAGUUUGGCUUUGGGAAAUUUAUUUUUUAUAUAUAUCAGUGUUUUGGGCCUUUUGCAAAUUUUGGAAUGGAUGUGUAUGGCUGUUUUUUUUUUUCUUUUUUGUGAUGCUUGCGUUUUGACAAAAAAAAAAUAUAAAACAAUGUUUUUGCGUGUUGCAUACGGCCAAUACCCUAACAUGUUUUGAACUUUUUUUAUAUACAAAAAAUAUUGGAAGUUUCGAAAAUGUGUUUUCGCAUGGAUUUCUUAAACACACAAAAAAAAUUAUUUUUUUUGCAUUUCUGGAUUUUACAACAUGUUUGUAAAACUCCAAAGGGUAUUGGCCAAUAUUUCAAAAAAAUAUAAAAAUCUUAUUUUGGGGGGAAUUCAUCUAUUAUUCACCGCUAAUGUUUGGAUAAAGAAAUCCUUAAAGGACGAAUAUCCAAAAUAUUAUUGGGAGUAAUAAAUCCACACACAUCCUUGAAAGAAGCCUUGAUUAUAAUCGAGGACAUUUCAAUUUUUUACUCCAUGGUUUACGAGCCGUGAGAGUAUAAAACACUAAGACAAAAAAAAUAGGUUUUUUAAAGCACCCUAGAUUUCUAAAUUUUUGUCCCUCCUCCUUGCGAUUUACGAGUCACAAACUCUUGAAAUACCAAGGGAAAAAUGAGCUUGUAAAGCACAUGGAAUCUCCUUGGAUUUCUAUCUUAAUAAAUUUAGUUAGAAUCAAACUUAGAAAAACUGAUGGAAUUAGGAAACACCAACACCAUAGAAAUUAUAAGACAAACCAAACACCAAGUAGCUUACCUUAGGUAGGGCGUACUAGGGGUGCUAAUACCUUCCCUUUACGCAACCAGUCCCUUGCCUUAGAAUCUCUGAAAGACCAGUUAGGGUUCCUAGUGACCAUAAUACUAGGUGGCGACUCCCUUAUUCACAAAGAAAACAAAGGACCCCGAAAUCAAUCGAGGGUUCGCCGCGACGCCGCGCUCCACCGCGAGGGUGCGACAAUGCUGAUGCAGAGUUGAUUCAAGGUGGGGAUUCCAAUACCAUCAACAAGGUUACAUGCCUGGUAACAAUCUCUGCUCUGCUAUAACAUAUAGCCACAUUGUUUUCACUGUAUUAGAAGAAUAAAAAAUACCAAGUACUGUUGAUUAGAAAUUUUUUAGGAAUUAAUUCAAGUAUUGAUGCACUAAGUCAAGUAGAUAACGGUAAUAAUUUAUUUAGAAUUGUAAUAGAUUUACAUGGUUAAAAAUUACAUAUCGUUUAGAACUAAAUUAAGGCUCUGUUUGUUUGCAGAAAAGUUGUUUCCUUUUGAAAAGUGAAUUUCGGGGAAAGUGAAUUCCGGG
rnacentral:lncRNA from 1 species